rnacentral:rRNA from 1 species
UACGAAGGGGGCUAGCGUUGCUCGGAAUCACUGGGCGUAAAGGGCGCGUAGGCGGAUCUUUAAGUCGGGGGUGAAAGCCCAGGGCUCAACCCUGGAAUUGCCUUCGAUACUGGAGAUCUUGAGACCGGAAGAGGUAAGUGGAACUGCGAGUGUAGAGGUGAAAUUCGUAGAUAUUCGCAAGAACACCAGUGGCGAAGGCGGCUUCCUGGACCGACACUGACGCUGAGGCGCGAAAGCUAGGGGAGCAAACGGG